rnacentral:rRNA from 1 species
AUUGAACGCUGGCGGCAGGCCUAACACAUGCAAGUCGAGCGGAUGAAGGGAGCUUGCUCCUGGAUUCAGCGGCGGACGGGUGAGUAAUGCCUAGGAAUCUGCCUGGUAGUGGGGGAUAACGUCCGGAAACGGGCGCUAAUACCGCAUACGUUCUGAGGGAGAAAGUGGGGGAUCUUCGGACCUCACGCUAUCAGAUGAGCCUAGGUCGGAUUAGCUAGUUGGUGGGGUAAAGGCCUACCAAGGCGACGAUCCGUAACUGGUCUGAGAGGAUGAUCAGUCACGCUGGAACUGGGACACGGUGCAGACUCCUACGGUAGGCAGCAGUGGGGAAUAUUGCACAAUGGGCGAAAGCCUGAUCCAGCCAUGCCGCGUGUGUUAUGAAGGUCUUCGGAUUGUAAAGCUCUUUAAGUUGGGAAGAAGGGCAGUGAGUUUAUACCUGGCUGUUUUGACGUUACCAACAGAAUAAGCAACGGCUAACUUCGUG